AAAGACUCGAUUCCUAGGUUUUCGUAUCCAACGUUUGACUAUCCGUCUUAUAUAAAAUUUUUUUAUGAUUAGUAUUUUCAUUGUUGUUAGAUGAUAAAAUAUGAAUAAUAUUUUAUGCGUGACUUAUCUUUUUAAAUUUUUUUCAUAUUUUUUUCAAAUAAGACGGACGAUCAAACGUUGGACACGAAAACCCAGGUAUUGAGUUAUU
rfam:Oryza glumipatula chromosome 8, whole genome shotgun sequence.